rnacentral:rRNA from 1 species
AUUGAACGCUGGCGGCAGGCUUAACACAUGCAAGUCGAGCGGAGAUGAGGUGCUUGCACCUUAUCUUAGCGGCGGACGGGUGAGUAAUGCUUAGGAAUCUGCCUAUUAGUGGGGGACAACAUUCCGAAAGGAAUGCUAAUACCGCAUACGUCCUACGGGAGAAAGCCGGGGAUCUUCGGACCUUGCGCUAAUAGAUGAGCCUAAGUCGGAUUAGCUCGUUGGUGGGGUAACGGCCUACCAAGGCGACGAUCUGUAGCGGGUCUGAGAGGAUGAUCCGCCACAGUGGGACUGAGAGACGGCCCAGACUCCUACGGGAGGCAGCAGUGGGGAAUAUUGGACAAUGGGGGAACCCUGAUCCAGCCAUGCCGCGUGGGGGAAGAAGGCCUUAUGGUUGUAAAGCACUUUAAGCGAGGAGGAGGCUACUGAGACUAAUACUCUUGGAUAGUGGACGUUACUCGCAGAAUAAGCACCGGCUAACUCUGUGCCAGCCGCCGCAGUAA